rnacentral:rRNA from 1 species
CCUACGGGUGGCAGCAGUGAGGAAUAUUGGUCAAUGGGCGCGAGCCUGAACCAGCCAAGUAGCGUGAAGGAUGACUGCCCUAUGGGUUGUAAACUUCUUUUAUAAAGGAAUAAAGUGAGGCACGUGUGCCUCUUUGUAUGUACCUUAUGAAUAAGGAUCGGCUAACUCCGUGCCAGCAGCCGCGGUAAUACGGAGGAUCCGAGCGUUAUCCGGAUUUAUUGGGUUUAAAGGGUGCGUAGAUGGGUUGUUAAGUCAGUUGUGAAAGUUUGUGGCUCAACCGUAAAAUUGCAAUUGAUACUGGCGGGCUUGAGUACAGUUGAGGUAGGCGGAAUGCGUGGUGUAGCGGUGAAAUGCUUAGAUAUCACGAAGAACUCCGAUUGCGAAGGCAGCUUGCUAAGCUGCCACUGACAUUGAUGCUCGAAAGUGUGGGUAUCGAACAGGAUUAGAUACCCGGGUAGUC